GGGGGUAAUGCUCAGGGGUAGAGCAUUUGACUGCAGAUCAAGAGGUCCCUGGUUCAAAUCCAGGUGCCCCCU
rnacentral:tRNA from 1 species